rnacentral:rRNA from 1 species
UACGUAGGUCCCGAGCGUUGUCCGGAUUUAUUGGGCGUAAAGCGAGCGCAGGUGGUUUAUUAAGUCUGGUGUAAAAGGCAGUGGCUCAAGCAUUGUAUGCAUUGGAAACUGGUAGACUUGAGUGCAGGAGAGGAGAGUGGAAUUCCGUGUGUAGCGGUGAAAUGCGUAGAUAUAUGGAGGAACACCGGUGGCGAAAGCGGCUCUCUGGCCUGUAACUGACACUGAGGCUCGAAAGCGUGGGGAGCAAACAGG